CUUCUAGGAUUGCCUCGGCUUCCUGAAAAUUAUCACAAUUUCUAGUAAUUGCAUGGCAAAAACUCAGAUUCAACUCUAGAAAAAGGCAAGAACCAACUUGCAUCGAAAUCACAAAAAGAAUGGCACAUAUUAGAAAAUUAUAUCAAAUAAAGAGUGGCCACUGUUAGCAACAGGUUAAAUUAGGUUUAACCCCAUGGUUAUGACAUUCUAUUUACAGGAAAACAACCUUUUUUCUCCCAGAUGGUUUCCUUAUCCAAGAAGUAAGCUUGUUUUGAUAUAAUUGAACAACUUUCAAAUUCAAUGAGCUUUCUGAAUGAUCAUAAGACUUACAGACAGUUUGAAAUUUACAUAUUAUCCAUGUAGACGUGAGAUCAGGUGUCCAACCUGAUGAAGUGCGCAUGUGAUGUCAUAUAUAGCAUGUAUUAUAAUCCUUUGAAAAUUGAUAAAUGAUCAUUAUGUGGAACUGUAAUCAAAGAGGAUAUGCAAUUGCAAUGCAAUAAAUACCUCAUUCAGUAAGGUUAGUGCUG
rnacentral:misc_RNA from 1 species